GAUCCUGGCUCAGGACGAACGCUGGCGGCGUGCUUAACACAUGCAAGUCGAACGGAAAGGCCCCAGCUUGCUGGGGUACUCGAGUGGCGAACGGGUGAGUAACACGUGGGUGAUCUGCCCUGCACUUCGGGAUAAGCCUGGGAAACUGGGUCUAAUACCGGAUAGGACCAUCGUUUAGUGUCGGUGGUGGAAAGUUUUUCGGUGCAGGAUGAGCCCGCGGCCUAUCAGCUUGUUGGUGGGGUAAUGGCCUACCAAGG
rnacentral:rRNA from 1 species